rnacentral:sRNA from 1 species
UUUUCUUGGAGCCUGCGACCGAGUGGGAGUGGAGUGGAGCGGCUGUGGUUGCCGACCCUUUCCUCUUCCCCACGGUCCAGUCAGCGGGUUAAUUAGGCCAUCGGCCCUCGAGCCGAGACUUGUCUCUUAUUUAGUUCUGGGGAGCGCCUCGUCGACAUGAGUGAUGUAGAGGAGAACAACUUCGAGGGCAGAGUUAAUGUUCGUGAAGAAAUUGAAGAGUUUUUUCCAAGAAUGUGGAAGAUAAAUCAAGAUAAAAGAAGGCUAAUGAAAAGUAUUAAAGAUCAGAAAAUUAAAAUUGAAUGGGGGAAAAAAUUGAACAGAAGAUUGGUCAGAUAGAAGCACUUGAAUAUUUUUUUAAGGCUAUUUUGAAUUGUUUGAAUUGGGGAAGAAUACACGAAGUAUGAAAAAUGAAAAACUCAAUGAAGAAUGAAGAGAAGUAGAAAGCAAGAGUGAAGUAGAAUUAAAAGAAUCUGGAAGAAUGAAUGGGUCCUAGGUUAAGUAAAUGAGUCUCGCUCUCAGUCAAAAUCUCCAACGGGAACUCCUGCUCGUGUAAAAUCGGAGAGCAGGUCAGGAUCUCGUAGUCCGUCAAGGGUUUCCAAACACUCUGAAUCCCAUUCUCGAUCAAGAUCAAAAUCCAGGUCGAGGUCAAGGAGACAUUCUCAUAGACGUUACACUCGAUCCAGAUCCCACUCUCACUCUCAUAGGAGACGAUCUCGAAGUAGAUCAUAUACACCAGAAUACCGGCGGCGAAGGAGCCGAAGCCAUUCUCCAAUGUCUAACCGGAGAAGACAUACUGGCAGCAGGGCAAAUCCAGAUCCCAACACUUGCCUUGGAGUGUUUGGCCUCAGUUUGUACACAACAG